rfam:Oryza barthii chromosome 8, whole genome shotgun sequence.
AAUAAAUGCAGUUUUGCACGGUUCAUGUCUAACGUUUAAUCUUUUGUCUUAUUUAAAAUUUUUUUAUGAUUAGUAUUUUUGUUGUUAUUAGAUGAUAAAACAUGAAUAAUAUUUUACAUUUGACUAAUUUAUUUUAACUUUUUCAUAAACUUUUCAAAGACGGACGUUUAAAAGUUCGACACGGAUUUUCACGGUUGCACUUAUU